rnacentral:lncRNA from 1 species
UGUGGAUUCACUUAUUUUCGUGGGUACCAAUUUUCGUGGAUUAAAGAAAACUUAUAUAUUCGUUGGUUUUUAAUUUCGUGGUUUUCGCCAAAGAUUGCAUACAAGCCAAUAGGAAAUCUGGCAUUCGUUGGACAUUUAAUUUCGUGGUUCACCUUUACCCACGAAGUCCACGAAAAUUGGUAUCCAACGAAUAAUAAUGAUUCCACAGUA